GCUCAGAAACUUACAGGAUUGACGGGGCCCGCACAAGCGGUGGAGCAUGUGGUUUAAUCGAAGCAACGCGAAGAACCUUACCAGGCCUUGACAUGCAGAGAACUUUCCAGAGAUGGAUUGGUGCCUUCGGGAACUCUGACACAGGUGCUGCAUGGCUGUCGUCAGCUCGUGUCGUGAGAUGUUGGGUUAAGUCCCGCAACGAGCGCAACCCUUGCCUUUAGUUGCCAGCAGUUCGGCUGGGCACUCUAAAGGGACUGCCGGUGUUAAACCGGAGGAAGGUGGGGAUGACGUCAAGUCCUCAUGGCCUUUAUGACCAGGGCUACACACGUACUACAAUGGCCGAUACAAAGGGCAGCGACACUGCGAGGUGAAGCCAAUCCCGUAAAAUCGGUCUCAGUCCGGAUUGGAGUCUGCAACUCGACUCCAUGAAGUUGGAAUCGCUAGUAAUCGUGGAUCAGCAUGCCACGGUGAAUACGUUCCCGGGCCUU
rnacentral:rRNA from 1 species